rnacentral:misc_RNA from 1 species
AAGUCGUAACAAGGUUUCCGUAGGUGAACCUGCGGAAGGAUCAUUAACGAGUUAGGGUCUCCUAGGCCCGACCUCCCAACCCUUUGUUUACUAGACCUCUGUUGCUUUGGCGGACCCGUCUCAGACAUGGGACCGCCAGAGGAUCGCCUACCUGGGCGUCCUCUGGCCCGUUGUCCGCCGAUAGCCUAUUCUCCCAACUCUGGAAUAAUCAUGAUAUAUUGUCUAAGUGAAUUUAUUCAAUUAAAAAGCAAAAACUUUCAACAACGGAUCUCUUGGUUCUG